UACGGAGGAUGCGAGCGUUAUCCGGAUUUAUUGGGUUUAAAGGGUGCGCAGGCGGAUUUUUAAGUCAGCGGUCAAAUCGUGGGGCUCAACCCCGUCCAGCCGUUGAAACUGGGGAUCUAGAGUGUGCGAGAGGUAUGCGGAAUGCGUGGUGUAGCGGUGAAAUGCAUAGAUAUCACGCAGAACCCCGAUUGCGAAGGCAGCAUACCGGUGCACAACUGACGCUCAGGCACGAAAGCGUGGGUAUCGAACAGG
rnacentral:rRNA from 1 species